rnacentral:lncRNA from 1 species
UUUUUUUUUUGAUAGAUAAACAUCAGAAUAUAUUAGAAAAGGCUAAAAAGCCGCAUGUAUACAGGGGGUAUACACAAAAGCCCAAGAAAGAGAGCUGAAAAAAGAGAGGGGAAGAACCUCACCCACCCUCAAGUGGCCGCAAGCCACUCCAAAAAGCCUAAGAGAGAAUAGGUAUCCUCACCAAUGUACACCCUAGCCCAACUCCACAAAUUACAUACAAAAAAAUUCUUGAAUUUUUGAAUAUCUAAAGACCCCCCCCCCCUAAAAGCUAACCUAUUCCUUUCCUUCCAAACCGUCCAAAAUAUGCACAAUGGAAUGGAAUUCCAAGUAUUUUUUCUUUUUUUCCCCACAAAAGAGCCCCUCCAGCUAAGUAACACUUCUAUAACUGAUUCUGGGAACACCCAUUGGACUCCAAAAAUGACGAGGACAAUCUCCCAAAGAGUCUUAACCACUGUACAAUGUUACAGAAUAUGAUUCACAUUUUCCUCUUCACAGCCACACAAAAAACACCAGUUAGGGAGCUGUCACCCCCUUCUUUGAAGCUUAUCCAAGGUGAGGAUCUUCCCCCACGAAGCUUCCCAAGCAAAAAAAGACACUUUUGUUGGAACCUUAUCCAUCCAAAUGCGUCUGUUCGGGAAAGCACAGGCUGAGGACCCAAACAGCAUUUUGUAAGCACCCUUAGCCCCAAAAACACCAUUGCCUUCCCUUUUCCAUCUCACAGCAUCCUCCUCAGUCGAAGUCUUGAAAUCCCUCAGCAAAUUCAGCAUAUUUCCUAUCUGGUCCAGCUCCCAAUCAUUGAAAUCUCUAGCCAAUCUGAGAUUCCAACCUCCUUGACCCAGGCUAGAGUCCCACACUUCACUUACUUUGGCAUUCCUAUGACCCGCCAAGGUAAACAGCUGUGGGAAAAUUUGAGAAAGCGCCUCAUUGCCACACCACUUAUCUGUCCAGAACAAAACUCUGGUCCCCUUCCCUACCUUAAAAUCAAUGCUCUCCCAGCACCAAUCAGCUUCCUUCAUGAUCUCCUUCCACAAUCCCAUUCCAUAAGGCCCACAAACUUCCUUAGUCCUCCACCCACACCCCUCUUGACCAUACUUCACCCCUAUCACCAUUUUCCAAAGGUUCUCUUUCUCAUAGGCAUAUCUCCACACCCAUUUGCCCAGCAAGGCUUUGUUCAAUAAAUCUAUCUUUCGGAUGCCUAAUCCUCCCUCCUCCUUAAGGCUACAGACCACCUUCCACUUAAUUAAGUGAGCUUUCCUCUCCAAACUUCCUCCCCCCCAAAGGAAAUCUCUUUGGAUUUUCUCAAUCCUUUUUGUAACAGACUUAGGGAUGCGGAUAAGGGAUAGAAAGUAGAUGGGUAUGCUGGCCAAAGUACUCUUGAUAAGAGUAAUUCUACCCCCUUUCGAGAUGUAUUCUUUUCCACUGGGCUAGUCUUCUUCUCAUUCUCUCUUCCACCCCAUCCCAGGAAGAAGAGGUUUUAUGGUGGGCUCCAAGGGGCAGCCCCAAAUAAACAGUGGGUAAAACUCCCAAUUUGCAUCCUAGUUCAGCCGCCAGCUCCUCCAAUUCAUCCACUUGCCCAACAGGAAUUAGGGCACUCUUAGCAAGAUUAAUUCUGAGGCCCGAAGCCGCCUCAAACCACGCCAAGAUCCAGCUUAGAUUGGUUACUUGCUCUCUUUUCGCUUUGCAGAAAAUGAUUGUGUCGUCAACAAAAAGGAGAUGAGAGACAAUCAGCUCCACACCCCCUCUCCCCCGAAGCCUACAGCCGGAAAGAAAGCCCCCCUCACCAGCCCGUCUAAGAAGGGUGCUAAGAACUUCCAUACCCAAGUGUUUUAUAUCAAAAAAUAAACAAAAAUAAUAAUAAUAAUUUUUCCAACCAACUACCCAAGCCAAAAAACCAAGCUAGUCAAAAAUGCUAAAAUACAAAUACUAACAUCCAUAUUCAACCAUCUUAACCAACCUCAGAAGCUCUCCAACUGCAAGCAGAGAGCCAUGUAUACUGUGUACUGGAGCAUUUCUACCCAAUCCAUCUUGUGUAGCCUCAAACAUACGAUAAUACCUGUCAAGAACACAAUACAUAGAACUCAUUGUCCAAAUCAAAUAAAAUACAAGGAACAAAAUAUGCAAGCUCAAUAAAGCAUUCAAUGAGUCUGAAACAAAAAACUACAAUCUGAAAGUCAUCAUCAUCAAAAACAGUUUAAAGUUCAACGAUCAAAAUCAGGUCACAGUUUCUGCAGAAACUAAUUUAUUUUGAACAAGAUUGAAACGACAUAAAAAUAAAAAGCCAUGAGAAGAAGAUUACUGAAGAAUACAUCCAUUAGUUUUUGGAUUGAGGGACACCAAAUGCAGCUACUCCAAAAUGAUAAAGGUUUCAGCUAACUAAUAAAAGUUGGCAAGCAUGUAACCCAAGUUCGCAUGUCUGUUGACUUUUAAAUGGCAUGAAAGAUAGAUAUAUGUCUAGAGCCUCUAAAGUCAGAACACUGUCCAGAUUACAGCCAUAGAUGUGAAAUUCAAACAACAGCCUAAUAUAAGAACAGCCAAUGGUAGCAUUGAAAUGGUUACUUUUUUUCAAAAAAAACAAAGCACUGAAAUCAAGCACAAUGAUUUUUCCCAAAUUAGCCUUAAACACAAACUUCUCUUUUAUGGAUCUCUACAACUUUCAUAUUAUCUUUCUAAUUGUAGAAUGUAUUUCUCUUUGCAGCCUUCUCGCGCUUUACGCCACACAUCAAUGUUGAAUAUAUCUUCACAGAGAAUGAAACCAGACGAUGCAGUGCAACUAUAAUUAUAUACCUAUCCAGAACCAUGGAAUUCUGUACAGCUUGAGAUGCUAUUAAGUUUUUAGCCUACACAAGUCAAACAUUACCUGAGAACCUCAUUUUCACAACUCCUGCUCUCAAUUAUGAUCUUCUAGACUUCUUCAUCAUACGUAAUACAAGAGAUGCUAUACAUUAUCCAAUCUCCUUAAUUGAUGCUUCUAAAACCAUAUGCUCAUUCUCAUCAUGGUGUUUGCCAUAUGGAAUAAGUAAAAGAUGAUAGCCAACACAGAGCCUUUGUCACACCCUCUCUAUAUAGGGAACAGAAAAUAUUAUCGAAAGAAGAGCAAAGAAACAGAGGGAAGGAUAAGAAUGAGAGGCUCCCCCAAGGAGGGUAAGGCCUGCUGCAAACUCAACCAUGGAAAGGCUCCCCCAUUGGCAAGAUCAUCAACUACUUGAGCAUAGGUCUCCAACCAAAUGAUAGAACCCAUUGGAUGUAGAUAGCUCAUGAAAUCCCAGAGAGCAUCUAUGAUCCUCCAUUUGUCCUCAAAAUCCCAUAAUUCCUUCCAAUUAAUAUCACCCAAGGAAUGCCAUGAAUUGCAUCUUCCAACAGCACACUUUUAUUACCCCUUCUUGUCACUAACUCUAGCCCUUCAACACAUAGGCUGACUUUGAAAACACCUUUUCACAAACCACAUAAUUGGGCCACAAGUCUAUCUAGGAUAUGUCAUAGUUAGACCUCUAUGUUACAUGGGUUUGGGUAUGGGUGUUGAGUGCAGGUACAUGUCUAGGUGUCAUAUCUUCUGCAUCACAAAAUCUUAGGAUAAGGAGAUUCGACUAAGAAGGAUCUCAACUAUGAGUCCGGGCACUUUUUUUUUUUUGAUAGAUAAACAACCAAAUAUAUUAGAAAAGGCUAAGAAGCCGCAUGUAUACAGGGGGUAUACUGAACAGCCCAAAACAAGGCUGAGAAAAAAAACAAAAAAGGGGAGAAGCCUCACCCACCCUCAAGUGGUCCCAAGCCACUCCAAAAAGCCUAAAAGAGAGUAGGUUUCCUCACCAAUGUACACCCUAGCCCAACUCCAUAAGUUACAUACAAAAAAAUUUUUGAAUUUCUGAAUAUCUAAAGACCCUCCCCUGAGAGUUAACCUAUUCCUUUCCUUCCAAACCGUCCAAAAUAUGCACAACGGGAUGGAAUUCCAUAUCUUUUUUCUUUUUUUCCCCACAAAAGAACCCCUCCAGCUAAGUAACACCUCUAUAACUGACUCUGGGAACACCCAUUGAACUCCGAAAAUGGCAAGGGUAAUCUCCCAAAUAGUUUUAACCACUGUACAAUGUAGGAGAAUAUGGUUCGCAUUUUCCUCUCCGCAGCCGCAUAAAUAGCACCGAUU